UCAGUGGUUGUUCAGUGGUAGAGUUCUCACCUUCCAUGUGAGAGACCCAGGUUCGAUUUCCAGCUAAUGUA
rnacentral:tRNA from 1 species